GUGUCCCCUUCGGCCCGGGGUGACACGAGUGUCUCACAGGUGAGAAGAUGACGGAGGAGGAGGUGGAGCAGCUCGUGGCCGGGCACGAGGACAGCAACGGCUGCAUCAACUACGAAGAGCUGGUCCGGAUGGUGCUGAGCGGCUGAAGACUCCCCCCACCCCCCCCGUGUCCCCUCCCACCCACUCAGUUUUGUGCCUUUUUCCUCAUUUUCCUGCCACCGCCACCACGUCCCCACUGCCCCCGUGUCCCACCCCCUCCCCUGAUGCCCCCAGCCCUCCCUCGGCCCCAUCGGCUAAAUUAUUGCUCCACUGCAUCAAAUAAAGUCUCAGAACGUUGAAUGUGA